UACGGGGGGGGCAAGCGUUGUUCGGAAUUACUGGGCGUAAAGGGUGCGUAGGCGGUCUGUUAAGUUGGAUGUGAAAACUCUGGGCUCAACCCAGAGCCUGCAUCCAAAACUGGCAGGCUAGAGUUCUGGAGGGGGUAGCGGAAUUCCUGGUGUAGCGGUGAAAUGCGUAGAUAUCAGGAGGAACACCGGUGGCGAAGGCGGUUCUCUGGGCCUUACCUGACGCUGAGGAGCGAAAGCGUGGGGAGCGAACAGG
rnacentral:rRNA from 1 species